rnacentral:rRNA from 1 species
GGAGGGUGCAAGCGUUAUCCGGAUUCACUGGGUUUAAAGGGUGCGUAGGUGGGCAAGUAAGUCAGUGGUGAAAUCUCCGGGCUUAACCCGGAAACUGCCAUUGAUACUAUUUGUCUUGAAUACUGUGGAGGUCAGCGGAAUAUGUCAUGUAGCGGUGAAAUGCUUAGAUAUGACAUAGAACACCAAUUGCGAAGGCAGCUGGCUACACAAAUAUUGACACUGAGGCACGAAAGCGUGGGGAUCAAACAGGAUUAGAUACCCUGGUAGUCCACGCCCUAAACUAUGGAUACUCGACAUUUGCGAUAAACUGCAAGUGUCUGAGCGAAAGCAUUAAGUAUCCCACCUGGGAAGUACGAUCGCAAGAUUGAA